rnacentral:tRNA from 1 species
CGCUGUAGCUCAGUUGGUAGAGCGGCGCUUUCGUAAAGCGUAGGUCACCGGUUCGAAUCCGGUCAGCG